NNNNNNNNNNNNNNNNNNNNNNNNNNNNNNNNNNNNNNNNNNNNNNNNNNNNNNNNNNNNNNNNNNNNNNNNNNNNNGCAAGACUCCAUCUCGAAAAAAAAAAAAAGAGAGAGAGUCCACAGACUAAAGGUAGUUUUCCUUUGGUUAAUAUGAAAACACCAAAUAGUCAGAUUGCUUUGUUAAAUAAAGUGGAUUACGGUGAAUCUGUUCACUUCUAUGUUUUAUAUUGCCCUCACUCCACAAAUCACAGAAGAUAUUUAUUUUUCCCCCAGUUAAAUUCUGUUACCACAACCAUUACAAACAAAUGUCUAUAUAACCAAAAUGUUAGUCAGCCCCAUUCCAAUGGAGCACAUUUUAAGUGAUGUUUAAUGGGACAUAAUUUGAACAUAAAAUUCUAUCUGUGCACUGUUUUCAAGUCUUUGAAUCAGGCCUCCACCUAUAGAUGUUGGUUACCUAUCAGGGAGCAACAGGUGAUGCUAAGGAUCACUUUGUAAAAACCAGGAAUCACAUCCCUGUAACUGACAGGAAACUGACUAUAUUCAUCAGGGUUCUCCAGAGAAAUAGAACUAACAGAAUGUGUAUAUACAUAGGAGGAAAUUUCGUUUAAGGAAUUGACUCGUGUGAUUGUGGAGACUUUGGGAGCCCAAAAUCUGAUGGGAGAAGCUGGCAUGCAGGAGGCCCAGGGAAGAGUUACAGUUCUAGUCCACAGGUAACCUGCUAGAGAACUCCUUCUUGUUCUGGAUGAGUUUGGCCUUUUGUCUAUUCAGGCUUUCAAGUGAUGGGAUGAGGCCCACCUACAUUAUGGAGGGCAACCUUCUUUACUCAAAGUCUACAGAUUUAAAUGUAAAUCUCAUCCAAAAACACCCUCACAGAAACAUCCAGAAUAAUAUUUGAUCAAGUAUCUGGGCAACAUGGCCAAGCCAAGUUGACACAGAAUUAACCAUCACACUGGAUCACAAGGGCUGUGUUCAGCAAGAACUGACCUUGGUCAAACCCUGCCCCUGCCCUUAUGCCCCACUCUUCUUCAUUCUGGGUCCUGCUAUUUCCAUUUUAUCAUGUCUUCAUCUUCUUUCCCCACCUUUCAGGUACCUUUCCUCUCUGACCCUAUCCCUAGACUCACCUCCUACCCCCCACUCAAAGCCCUUCCUUCCUUAAAAAAUGAUGUUAGUCAUUACACUUUAGGAUUUAAAUUAAUCAUUCUGUUAGCCGUCUUACUAACUUUCUCACUGUGAAAGGAAAGCAUAUUAAAAGAAUUUCAGGGAUCGAUGAAGAGCUGAGGGAGGUAUUUUUCUAGGAAGAGAAAGUGACUAACAGAAAUCAAGACAAAGGGGGACAAUCAGAUUUUUCAGAUGACAGAAAGCAGGUAAACUCUAGAGAUCUAGAGAACUAGCAAAUGGUCUCUUCAGGGUGUCAUCAUUGCAGUAAAUGAGCUCUAGCUAUUUCUGUCUUUAUUCUUCAGGGUAUUCAAGAUUGCAGUUACUUAGGAGAGACAGAGCAUCUGACUGAUUGAACUUGGGUUCUGUACUCACUCCUGGGCCAGGGGGAGCCAGGGUACCUGGUCUGACAAUCCUUCCAAGGCUGCAUGAACCGGAGGAGCUGUUACCAGAAAAGGGCAGAGUGAAUUUGGGGCAGCAAAAACAUUUAUUGCUUAUCGACUAUCACUGCAAGGAUUACUCAGAGGGUGAUGCAGAAUCAGCACCCCUCUAUUUCUAAGAUGACCUUGAAUGUCAGAGCAAGGCACAAACAGGUUGCCGAGACAGGUGGAGUAUCUGAAGCACUGUCUCAGGAUCCUUCCUCUCCUGCUGGAUGCUAAGGACCUUAAGGACAAGAGCUAUCUUUGCUUGCAAUUUAUUUGGCAGGCCCUGCAGGGCUGUGCAAAUGAUUCUAUUUAAUUUUUACUACUUGUGAGAAGGCACAGAGGGCUUUGAGAGGGCACAGAGGGCCUCUUAUAAUGGGUAGAUAUGCACGUUAGCUGAUACACUGGAAACUUUCCAGCAGGCAUAUCCUUCCAAGAUGAUAAAUAUUCCUCCUUGUUGGAGAAAUUGAAGACAUUUGUACUUGCAAUCUAGCUUAUCUAGUAAAACAAGACAAACUAACCAGUGAUAGGGAGAAACAUGUUUGCAUUAUUUUCCAACCUUGAAAAUAAUGUCAGAUUAUUGGACUGAGAACCAAUGUCAUCUCCUGGAUCUGGUAAUUAUUUGGACAAAAUCUCUUUGAUUCUAGGUUCAAAGUCAAGGUGUCAAAAAAAAAAAAAAAGGAUACAACUGUUAAGCUUAUUUAAUUAUACCUCUCACUGUACAAAUAAGGAAACUAGGCCAGGCGUGGUGGCUCACUUCUGUAAUCCCAGCACUUUGGGAGGACAAGGCCAGUGGAUCACCUG
rnacentral:lncRNA from 1 species